AGCACAGCGCCUAAGAGGAUAUUUACAGCCAGUGACAAGACGGCAUCCGCCUGAGCCUGCAUAAAUAGUUGGACGGCUGUGGCGAUUGCUCUUCUUCAGUUACCAAAUCUGCACUCAACAUUUCAGAUGACAACCGAGGACUCUGCACCUGAGCCACCCAAGCUACUUGGAGCCCAACUUUCCAGUUCAAAAAGCUUCAGCACAGCGCCUAAGAGGAUAUUUACAGCCAGUGACAAGACGGCAUCCGCCUGAGCCUGCAUAAAUAGUUGGACGGCUGUGGCGAUUGCUCUUCUUCAGUUACCAAAUCUGCACUCAACAUUUCAGAUGACAACCGAGGACUCUGCACCUGAGCCACCCAAGCUACUUGGAGCCCAACUUUCCAGUUCAAAAAGCUUCAGCACAGCGCCUAAGAGGAUAUUUACAGCCAGUGACAAGACGGCAUCCGCCUGAGCCUGCAUAAAUAGUUGGACCCUUCUGUUUUGAACAGCUGACACCUACAUCUACUCCAGAUGACCUGUAGGACGUUUGAUCAGCUACCUGCAUCCAAUCCACAUGGUACUAUUAUUAUAACUUGUAUAAAAUGCUAGGAUUAGUGUUUAUUUUAGCACCUUCACAACCUGUGCAGUUCCUCCUGCCUGGGGUGUCGUUCUGUACUCUAGUGCUUCUAUCACAAGUCUUCCACUGAAAUAAAGACCAGAGUGAUAGAAGCACCAGAGCAGAGGACGACACCCCUGGCAGGAAAGAAUAACUGCACAAGUUGUGACAGGUGCAGGAUGAUAGAACACUGUAGUUGUAAUCUACCAUACAGUAGAGCUACAUUGGUGAUGAAUGGACCACAAAUACUUUUAUUUAACACUCUUCACUUUCAAAUCCUUGUCCGCAUGUAAAAGGUAAACAUUAAAUAAAA